UACGGGGGGGGCGAGCGUUGUUCGGAAUCACUGGGCGUAAAGGGCGCGUAGGCGGCCCGCACAAGUCUGCGGUGAAAACCCCCGGCUUAACCGGGGGCCGGCCGUGGAAACUGUCGGGCUGGAGGCUGGGAGAGGGCAGCGGAAUUCCCGGUGUAGCGGUGAAAUGCGUAGAGAUCGGGAGGAACACCGGCGGCGAAGGCGGCUGCCUGGACCAGUCCUGACGCUGAGGCGCGAAAGCUAGGGGAGCGAAUGGG
rnacentral:rRNA from 1 species